rnacentral:rRNA from 1 species
GUAGGUGGCAAGCGUUGUCCGGAAUUAUUGGGCGUAAAGCGCGCGCAGGCGGUUCCUUAAGUCUGAUGUGAAAGCCCACGGCUCAACCGUGGAGGGUCAUUGGAAACUGGAGAACUUGAGUACAGAAGAGGAAAGCGGAAUUCCACGUGUAGCGGUGAAAUGCGUAGAGAUGUGGAGGAACACCAGUGGCGAAGGCGGCUUUCUGGUCUGUAACUGACGCUGAGGCGCGAAAGCGUGGGGAGCAAACAGGGAUUAGAUACCCUGGUAGUCCACGCCGUAAACGAUGAGUGCUAAGUGUUAGGGGGUUUCCCGCCCCUUAGUGCUGCAGCUAACGCAUUAAGCACUCCGCCUGGGGAGUACGGCCGCAAGGCUG